ensembl:lncRNA
GGACAUUUGGGGACAAUUUUAGGAAAAAUUUGGGGACAAUUUGGGGACAAUUUGAGGACAAUUUUGGGAAUUUUUUGGGAUUUUUCUGGGAUUUUUUUGGGAUUUUUUGGGGGAUUUUUUGGGAUUUUUUUGGGUUUUUUGGGGAUUUUUUGGGGAUAUUUUGGGGACAAUUUGGGGACAAUUUGGGGACAAUUUGGGGAAUUUUUUGGGAUUUUUUUGGGAUUUUUUUGGGAUUUUUUUGGGGAUUUUUUUGAGAUUUUUUGGGAUUUUUUGGGGGAUUUUUUGGGAUUUUUUUUUGGAUUUUUUGGGAUUUUUUGGGGAUUUUUUGGGGACAUUUGGGGACAAUUUGGGGACAAUUUGGGGACAAUUUUGGGAAUUUUUUGGGAUUUUUUUGGGAUUUUUUUGGGAUUUUUUGGGGGAUUUUUUUGGAUUUUUUUGAGAUUUUUUGGGGAUUUUUUGGGGACAAUUUGGGGACAAUUUGGGGACAAUUUGGGGACAAUAUUGGGAAUUUUUUGGGAUUUUUUGAGGAUUUUUUUGAGAUUUUUUUGGGAUUUUUUGGGGGGGAAUUUUUGGGGAUUUUUUUGGAAUUUUUUGGGAUUUUUUUUUGAUUUUUGGGAUUUUUUGGGGGGAUUUUUUUGGGACAUUUGGGGACAAGAACAGGGACACAAGGACAGGGGAGAUGCCACCACUGAUGUCCCUCCCCAACUCCCCCGAUGUCCCCCCAAUGUCCCCAAUGUCCCCAAUGUCCCCGAUGUCCCUGAUGUCCUCAAUGUCCCCAAUGUCCCCAAUGUCCCCAAUGUCCCCAGUCAUGUCCCCAAUGUCUCCAGGACGCCAUGCGCGCUGUCACCAAGCAGGCCUGUCCCAAUGUCCCCAAUGAUGUCCCCAAUGUCCCCAGUGUCCCCAAUGUCCCCAUUAAUGUCCCCAUUAAUGUCCCCAACAGGACGCCAUGCGCGCUGUCACCAAGCAGGCCUGUCCCAAUGUCCCUAAUGAUGUCCCCAAUGUCCCCAAUGUCCCCAGGACGCCAUGCGCGCUGUCACCAAGCAGGCCUGUCCCAAUGUCCCCAUUAAUGUCCCCAAUGUCCCCAGGACGCCAUGCGCGCUGUCACCAAGCAGGCCUGUCCCAAUGUCCCCAAUGUCCCCAUUAAUGUCCCCAUUAAUGUCCCCAAUGUCCCCAAUGUCCCCAAUGAUGUCCCCAAUGUCCCCAUUAAUGUUCCCAGGACGCCAUGCGCGCUGUCACCAAGCAGGCCUGUCCCAAUGUCCCCAAUGUCCCCAAUGAUGUCCCCAGUGUCCCCAUUGAUGUCCCCAUUAAUGUCCCCAGGACGCCAUGCGCGCUGUCACCAAGCAGGCCGUGCGCGAGGCUCGGCUGCGGGAGCUGCGCCAGGAGCUGCUCAACUCCGAGAAACUCAAGGUGAGCGAUUAAUUAGUGAUUAAUGAGUGAUUAAUGAGUGAUUAAUGAGUGAUUUAUUAGUGAUUAAUGAGUGAUUAAUGAGUGAUUCAUUAGUGAUUAAUGAGUGAUUAAUGAGUGAUUAAUGAGUGAUUAAUUAGUGAUUAAUUAGUGAUUAAUUAGUGAUUAAUGAGCGAUUA